rnacentral:rRNA from 1 species
UACAGAGGGUGCGAGCGUUGUCCGGAAUCACUGGGCGUAAAGGGCGCGUAGGCGGCGCGGUAAGCGUGCGGUGAAAGCCCGGGGCUCAACCCCCGGGUCGGCCGUGCGGACUGCCGGGCUGGAGCACUGUAGAGGCAGGUGGGAAUUCCGGGUGUAGCGGUGGAAUGCGUAGAGAUCCGGAAGAACACCGGUGGCGAAGGCGGCCUGCUGGGCCAGUAGCUGGACGCUGAAGCGCGACAGCGUGGG